CCUACGGUGGGCAGCAGUGGGGAAUAUUGGGCAAUGGGCGCAAGCCUGACCCAGCAACGCCGCGUGAAGGAAGAAGUAUUUCGGUAUGUAAACUUCUAUCAGCAGGGAAGAAAAUGACGGUACCUGACUAAGAAGCCCCGGCUAACUACGUGCCAGCAGCCGCGGUCAUACGUAGGGGGCAAGCGUUAUCCGGAUUUACUGGGUGUAAAGGGAGCGUAGGCGGCGAUGCAAGUCAGAAGUGAAAGCCCGGGGCUCAACUCCGGGACUGCUUUUGAAACUGUAUGGCUAGAUUGCAGGAGAGGCAAGUGGAAUUCCUAGUGUAGCGGUGAAAUGCGUAGAUAUUAGGAGGAACACCAGUGGCGAAGGCGGCUUGCUGGACUGUAAAUGACGCUGAGGCUCGAAGGCGUGGGGAGCAAACAGGAUUAGAUACCCGUGUAGUC
rnacentral:rRNA from 1 species